AUUGAACGCUGGCGGCAUGCUUUACACAUGCAAGUCGAACGGCAGCGCGGACUUCGGUCUGGCGGCGAGUGGCGAACGGGUGAGUAAUAUAUCGGAACGUACCCAAGAGUGGGGGAUAACGUAGCGAAAGUUACGCUAAUACCGCAUACGAUCUAAGGAUGAAAGCAGGGGAUCGCAAGACCUUGUGCUCCUGGAGCGGCCGAUAUCUGAUUAGCUAGUUGGUGAGGUAAAGGCUCACCAAGGCAACGAUCAGUAGCCGGUCUGAGAGGACGACCAGCCACACUGGAACUGAGACACGGUCCAGACUCCUACGGGAGGCAGCAGUGGGGAAUUUUGGACAAUGGGGGCAACCCUGAUCCAGCAAUGCCGCGUGAGUGAAGAAGGCCUUCGGGUUGUAAAGCUCUUUUGUCAGGGAAGAAAAGGCUGUGGCUAAUAUCCACAGCUGCUGACGGUACCUGAAGAAUAAGCACCGGCUAACUACGUGCCAGCCGCCGCCGUAAUAC
rnacentral:rRNA from 1 species